rnacentral:rRNA from 1 species
GACGAACGCUGGCGGCGUGCUUAACACAUGCAAGUCGAACGGAAAGGCCCUGCUUUUGUGGGGUGCUCGAGUGGCGAACGGGUGAGUAACACGUGAGUAACCUGCCCUUGACUUUGGGAUAACUUCAGGAAACUGGGGCUAAUACCGGAUAGGAGCUCCUCCGCCAGGUGGGGGGUGGGAAAGUUUCGGCGGUUGGGGAUGGACUCGCGGCUUAUCAGCUUGUUGGUGGGGUAGUGGCUUACCAAGGCUUUGACGGGUAGCCGGCCUGAGAGGGUGACCGGCCACAUUGGGACUGAGAUACGGCCCAGACUCCUACGGGAGGCAGCAGUGGGGAAUAUUGCACAAUGGGCGGAAGCCUGAUGCAGCAACGCCGCGUGCGGGAUGACGGCCUUCGGGUUGUAAACCGCUUUCGCCUGUGACGAAGCGUGAGUGACGGUAAUGGGUAAAGAAGCACCGGCUAACUACGUG